AUGAUAGCCGAAGAAGUGUUUCCUCAGAUCCAAGUUGCCAAUCCUCAGAUGGGGGUUGAGGGUCAGCCUCCAGUCCUGUACGUUUUUCGUCCUUGGACCCUCGCGGAGGCCGCGAAUGCUGUAGCCGGCAUUCCUCCACCGGAGGAUGAUCCAGAGGAAUGGAUAAAAUGUAUGUAUGAUUUGAUUGGCUCCUACCGCUUGAAUGGACAGGAAGCAGGGGAAGCUAUGCAAUCUUCAUUGAAAAUUAAAUGGGGGAGGGUAAAGGGUAAUUACACAGGGAGAAAUGGUGUAGGGACAGUGUUUGCAUAUCCAGCCGAUGGAGUGCUGAUGGGAGAAUAUAAAGAGGCUCUCGAUGCGAUAGCAGCUAGAGUGAAGACUGCUUUUGCGCGCACCGCGAACUACUCUCGCAUAGCUGCCAUAAAACAGAAACCAGAUGAGGAUCCUGAGGAUUUCAGGGCCCGAAUGGAACCUGUGUUCCGUGCUAAUAGUGGUAUAGCAUUCAAUGAAAAUAAAACUGAUGCAUACCAACAACAACUCAAACACGCUAUUAUGCAUGGUUUACACCAGGCAGGCUGGGUCCGCAAACAUUUCAUUGAAUUUGACACCGCGGACGUUCCUACAACUAUGCAGUGGGUCCGCCAUGCAACCAAACACUUAGACUCCAAGAAUGAGAAAGGGAAAGGAGGAAAAGGAGCGAACACAUUUUUCUAUGAUGACGAAGACUGUGAUGCUUUCCUCAAUGACAGCCCAGAUCAUGACACAGUGGAAACGAAGGGGGAUGAUAACCUCAACAGGGAAGCCUGUCCUCGGGAUGUUUUGGCAAUUCUGACACAUACUCAGCAGAGGCAAUACACCCUCUUAUCACCCUCGAUGUCCUCCGUGAUAUGCAGACCUCUGCUCCUGAUAAUGAAAAACAGUAUUGGGUCAAACAAGGCGCUGAAACAGACAAAACAGGACUGUAUACACAGGCUAACAAACCUAUUCUCCCUAAAAACUUGUACAAAGCUGCCGCUAUUUUGA
rnacentral:lncRNA from 1 species